rnacentral:rRNA from 1 species
UACGUUUUUAAUUUUUAACUCUAUUUGUUGUGACGUCUUAUUUUUAUGUUACUUUUUAGUUUAUUUUUUGUAAAAUAUUUUGAUUUAUUUUUAUUUUUUUAAGAUGUCAAAAAUUUGUUUUUUGAACUGGAUUAGUACCCAGGUAAUCAAAAUUUAUUAAUUCGGGAGUAAAGUUUUGUUUAAACCGAAAAAAUAUUGACUGACUUUAGAUUUUUCUUUGGAAUAUGUGUUUUGGAGAGCCCUCCUUUUUGGUAAGUUUUGUUGGCACAUGUAUGAUUGUUUAGUUUUUAUUUUUUUUGUAAUGCUUUUUGUUUUGGCAUUUAAAAUAGAUAUAUACUUGGCUUAUGAAUUUUUUUUCAUGUAUUACUAUUUUAAAUUUUAUUUGGAUUAAUUUUUUAUUUUUUUUUGAAAUUGGAAAAGAAAGUAAUUUUUUUUUAAUGUUUAGGUGAAUUUAAUAAAUAAAGU